rnacentral:lncRNA from 1 species
GAAAUGUCAGUGGACCUUUUGAAGUCAUAAUACUGUCCACUCUUCGAGGUUGCUUUAAAUUUCCUUUUUAAUUCUUAGGAAACAAACACCUGGACAGCUUAUCCACAGAGCGGCGACUGAGAUGUGUGACACUCACUUAGAAUCAAGAGCAGCUCACACCCUACACAAUACAUGACAGCCUCUUACAAUCCAUUCAGAAGACUUUUUUUUUCUCUCCUUUACAGGUUACCAGCCAGUCUUGUCUGGUCAACAGAGCUUUCAAGGCCUGAUGGGAGUACAGCAGUCAGCUCACAGCCAGGGGGUGAUGAGCAGUCAGCAAGGAGCCCCGGUGCAUGGUGUGAUGGUCUCCUACCCAACCAUGUCUUCUUAUCAGGUAUGUGCCAGCAGCGGGGAAAACCCUGGCCGCAAACUCAUGCUUGUCAAAACUGAAGCUAUAGGAAGUUGCAGGUGUGGAGCGGUUAGUAGGGUCAUGGAUGGUUGAGCCAUCCACCCAUUGGUUCACUUAGAAUUGAGAUACAAACAUAAAAAACACAGUGUGCAGGUGUCCUAACAAAUGUCAAGGCUUUUAAAUGCUAUGCUGGCUUUGCUUCCAUAAAAACUUGUGCUUUUGGAAGGAAAUUCUUUGAUGUCCUAUCCCAGAAGACUUUUGGGUGCUCUGUUGAAAUGAUACUUGAUAGAAAGCCAUUGUGGCAAUUUCUCUACCAUAUUUGUAUCUACUCAAGUAAACUUCCUUCCACUGGAGUUGCAAAUUAUCACAGAUUUUUAUGU